rnacentral:rRNA from 1 species
UCCGUAGGUGGUUUGUCAAGUCUGUCGUCAAAGAAUGGAGCUUAACUCCAUAGAGGCGGUGGAAACUGAGAGACUAGAGUUCGGUAGGGGUAGCGGGAAUUCCCAGUGUAGCGGUGAAAUGCGUAGAUAUUGGGAAGAACAUCGGUGGCGAAAGCUCGCUACUGGGCCGAAACUGACACUGAGGGACGAAAGCUAGGGUAGCGAAAG